UACGUAGGGACCAAGCGUUGUUCGGAUUUACUGGGCGUAAAGGGCGCGUAGGCGGCAAUUCAAGUCAGCUGUGAAAUCUCCGGGCUUAACUCGGAACGGUCAGCUGAUACUGCUUUGCUAGAGUGCGGAAGGGGCUACUGGAAUUCUCGGUGUAGCGGUGAAAUGCGUAGAUAUCGAGAGGAACACCUGCGGCGAAGGCGGGUUGCUGGGCUGAUACUGACGCUGAGGCGCGAAAGCCAGGGGAGCGAACGGG
rnacentral:rRNA from 1 species